rnacentral:rRNA from 1 species
AGCGAACGCUGGCGGCAGGCUUAACACAUGCAAGUCGAACGGGCAUCUUCGGAUGUCAGUGGCAGACGGGUGAGUACCACGUGGGAACUUACCCUUCGGUUCGGUAUAACUCAGCGAAACUUGACCUAAUACCGGAUACGCUCUUUUGGGGUAAGGUCUAUUGCCACAGGAUCGGCGCGCGUCUGAUUCGCUUGGUUGUCGGAUAACGGACUCCCAAGGCGAAUAUCAGUAUCUGGUCUGAGAGGAUGAUCAGCCACACUGGGACUGAGACACGGCGCAGACUCCUACGGGAGGCAGCAGGGGGGAAUAUUGAACAAUGGGCGCAAGACUGAUCCAGCCAGGCCGUGUGAGUGAUGUAGGCGUGAGGGUUGUAAAGCUCUGUUGACCGGGACGAUAAUGACGGUACCGGAAGAAUAAGCCCCGGCGAACUUCGU